rnacentral:rRNA from 1 species
GACGAACGCUGGCGGCGUGCUUAACACAUGCAAGUCGAACGGAAAGGCCCUGCUUUUGUGGGGUGCUCGAGUGGCGAACGGGUGAGUAACACGUGAGUAACCUGCCCUUGACUUUGGGAUAACUUCAGGAAACUGGGGCUAAUACCGGAUAGGAGCUCCUGCUGCAUGGUGGGGAUUGGACAGUUUCGGCGGUUGGGGAUGGACUCGCGGCUUAUCAGCUUGUUGGUGGGGUAGUGGCUUACCAAGGCUUUGACGGGUAGCCGGCCUGAGAGGGUGACCGGCCACAUUGGGACUGAGAUACGGCCCAGACUCCUACGGGAGGCAGCAGUGGGGAAUAUUGCACAAUGGGCGGAAGCCUGAUGCAGCAACGCCGCGUGCGGGAUGACGGCCUUCGGGUUGUAAACCGCUUUCGCCUGUGGCGAAGCGUGAGUGACGGUAAUGGGUAAAGAAGCACCGGCUAACUACGUG